rnacentral:rRNA from 1 species
GACGAACGCUGGCGGCGUGCCUAACACAUGCAAGUCGAACGGAAAGGCUCUGCUUUUGUGGGGUGCUCGAGUGGCGAACGGGUGAGUAACACGUGAGUAACCUGCCCUUGACUUUGGGAUAACUUCAUGAAACUGGGGCUAAUAACGGGUAGGAUCUCCUGCUGCAUGGUUGGGGUUGGAAAGUGUCGGCGGUAGGGGAUGGUGUCGGGGCGGAGCAGCGGGGUGGUGGGGUAGUGGCUUACCAAGUUUUUGACGGGGAGUCGGCCUGAGAGGGUGCACGGCCACAGUGGGACUGAGAUACGGCCGAGGCUCCUGCGGGAGGCAGCAGUGGGGAAUAAUCCACAAUGGGCGGAGGCGUGAUGGAGAAACGCCGCGUGCGGGAGUACGGCUUUGUGGUAGGAAAACGAUGUUGCAUGUGACGAAGCGUGAGGAACGGUACUGAGUAAAGAAGCACCGCUUAACUACGG